UACGUAGGGUGCGAGCGUUGUCCGGAAUUAUUGGGCGUAAAGGGCUCGUAGGCGGUUUGUCGCGUCGGGUGUGAAAUCCACUGGCUUAACUGGUGGCUUGCUUUCGAUACGGGCAGACUGGAGGUAUGCAGGGGAGAACGGAAUUCCUGGUGUAGCGGUGAAAUGCGCAGAUAUCAGGAGGAACACCGGUGGCGAAGGCGGUUCUCUGGGCAUGAUCUGACGCUGAGGAGCGAAAGCGUGGGGAGCGAACAGG
rnacentral:rRNA from 1 species